AGUACUACCAUCAGAAACAUUACUGUGACUUUUUCUGCCGAGGCAGCCUACUGUUUUGGGAGAGGGUGAAAAGGCAAUAAACGGUCCAGUUUUUUAAGAAAUCUAGGUUGAAAAAGUUCCUAUUUGGUAACAGAAAAAUUUACAACUGCAUCUAGUCAGAAAGGGCCAGCGGGACCCUGCUCCUCAGAUCCUGCAGCCACUUCUCCUGGGGUUGGCCAGAGGGACGCUGGGGACAGUGGGUGGCCCAAGGCCAGGGUUCUCUGAGACUCAGCCCUCCUUUGCAUCGGGAGCACAGAAAUGCCUACGUAAGGUCUGUGCAGGUAACAAGGAGAGCUCCAGGGAGAGUACCUAAUGGGAAACUGUGGUGGUGUCAGAGAACAAAACCAAGCCUCUGAGCUUCUUCACAGCUGCUUCUGCUCAAGGACAAACAACAGCUUAUACUCUGCAUUUUGAAAAACUGCCCCAAUGGAAAAACCAGUCUCAUUAUUAAGCUAUUUGCCUCCUGAUACAAUGGUGCACAUUUUAGUAACUGAUAAGUAAAAUCCAGGGUGCUAUUUGCUACUUCUCACUUUUCUUACUUCUUAAUUAUAAAAGCAAUGUAUUUGAUUCUGAUAAAUUUCUUCUUUCAUAAACGAAAUAUUUAAAAAGAAACCCUGCCCCAACACCUUUUCCAAUGAUAACCUUUGUUGAUGGUUUUCUACAAUUUAUUUUAUAAUAUUUACUAAUAUUUCCAAACUGCUAUACAAUGUGAAGAAAGCUUAAAGGCAUUGGUUAGAAUUGCUCCAGAGCACUAUUCUGAGUAUUUUAUUAUAGUUAAUCAUCAGCACAAGGAAUAGUAUAUGGAUUCUUUCAAUUUCUUUUGAAAUUGUAUAAAUAAAACAUUCUUUAAGGAAUAAUUCGCUGUAAUCAUUCUACUCUACAAUUCCUAAGAAAUAAUAUACUUUAUUCCUUCUAGUUUUGUUUCUUUUGUCUAAUUUUCCAAAAAGCACUUGAAUAAGUAAAGUUUCACAGACAUUAUUAAAACAUCUUCAAGUGCAAAAUACUGUUUUGUUUCCUUCUAAAGACUAAAGCUUUACUAUUUUAAAUAAGGAAGCAAGAAAAAAUUAAUUAUAAUGCUAUAAUGGGGUCAGACACUGUGUCAGUGAUGGAAGCAUAUAUGUUGCUUAAUAAAAAUCUGGAUGAACGAAUAAAAGAAACAAGAGUAAUAAUAAUGGUGGUUAUAGCAGUACCUACUUUAUAAGCAUGUGUUAAGCUGCAUGUCUAUGUUUUCUGGUCUUUCUUCUUUGUUUAUGU